AUUGAACGCUGGCGGAAUGCUUUACACAUGCAAGUCGAACGGCAGCACGGGGGCAACCCUGGUGGCGAGUGGCGGACGGGUGAGUAAUACAUCGGAACGUGCCCAGUCGUGGGGGAUAACUACGCGAAAGCGUAGCUAAUACCGCAUACGAUCUAUGGAUGAAAGCGGGGGAUCGCAAGACCUCGCGCGAUUGGAGCGGCCGAUGGCAGAUUAGGUAGUUGGUGGGGUAAAGGCUCACCAAGCCGACGAUCUGUAGCUGGUCUGAGAGGACGACCAGCCACACUGGGACUGAGACACGGCCCAGACUCCUACGGGAGGCAGCAGUGGGGAAUUUUGGACAAUGGGCGCAAGCCUGAUCCAGCCAUUCCGCGUGCAGGAUGAAGGCCCUCGGGUUGUAAACUGCUUUUGUACGGAACGAAACGGCUUGGGUUAAUACCCUGGGCUAAUGACGGUACCGUAAGAAUAAGCACCGGCUAACUACGUGCCAGCAGCCGCGGUAAUACGUAGGGUGCAAGCGUUAAUCGGAAUUACUGGGCGUAAAGCGUGCGCAGGCGGUAAUGUAAGACAGAUGUGAAAUCCCCGGGCUCAACCUGGGAACUGCAUUUGUGACUGCAUUGCUGGAGUGCGGCAGAGGGGGAUGGAAUUCCGCGUGUAGCAGUGAAAUGCGUAGAUAUGCGGAGGAACACCGAUGGCGAAGGCAAUCCCCUGGGCCUGCACUGACGCUCAUGCACGAAAGCG
rnacentral:rRNA from 1 species